rnacentral:rRNA from 1 species
GCGACAGCCUGACGGAGCAACGCCGCGUGAGCGAAGAAGGUCUUCGGAUUGUAAAGCUCUGUGACAUUGGACGAACAGGUUUCUUGUAAACAGCAAGGAAAAAUGACGGUACAAUAAGAGGAAGCCACGGCUAACUACGUGCCAGCAGCCGCGGUUAUACGUAGGUGGCAAACGUUGUCCGGAAUUACUGGGCGUAAAGGGCGAGUAGGUGGUUUAUUAAGUCCGAAGUGAAAACUCGGGGCUCAACCUGGAGACUGCUUCUGAAACUGGUAGACUUGAGUGCAGGAGAGGGAAGUGGAAUUCCUAGUGUAGCGGUGAAAUGCGUAGAUAUUUGGAGGAACACCAGUGGC